CAGUAGCCGCGGGAAUACGUAGGUGGCAAGCGUUGUCCGGAAUUAUUGGGCGUAAAGGGCUCGCAGGCGGUUUCUUAAGUCUGAUGUGAAAGCCCCCGGCUCAACCGGGGAGGGUCAUUGGAAGCUGGGAAACUUGAGUGCAGAAGAGGAGAGUGGAAUUCCACGUGUAGCGGUGAAAUGCGUAGAGAUGUGGAGGAACACCAGUGGCGAAGGCGACUCUCUGGUCUGUAACUGACGCUGAGGAGCGAAAGCGUGGGGAGCGAACAGGAUUAGAGACCCCCGUAGUCCCUGUCUCUUAUAC
rnacentral:rRNA from 1 species